CAUUGCCAAAGUAGUAAAGUUGGGAAGGCACUGAAGAAAGAAGGGAAUUUCUCAUUUUUAAUUUAUUAGACCAGCAGCCUGCGAUAACAUAAUGUAAAGAAAAUAAAUAACUGAAAUGAAAUAAUUUCAUAAUGAAACUUGGACCCAUUGAAGCAUCAUCUACAAAGUUCCUCACCUCUGAUGAGAGCAAAUGAAAAAGCACUUGUGCAAAAACCAACUUUAAAGAGAAGAACUUUUAUAGGAAAAAGGAAAGGAAAGAGGGCUAAUAAUGGGACUGGAACUUGAAGCUGAAGUGGUUUCUUG
rnacentral:lncRNA from 1 species